CAUGUACUUCCUCUGUCCCAAAAUUUUUGUCUUAAAUUUGUCUAGAUAUGGAUGUAUCUAAUACUAAAAUGUGACUUGAUACAUCCGUAUUUAGACAAAUCUAAAACAAGAAUUUUGGGAUGGAGGGAGUACCUG
rnacentral:pre_miRNA from 1 species